rnacentral:lncRNA from 1 species
CUGUAACGCCCCAAAUAUUAUUGACUUAAAUUUGAGGAGUUACCAAUAUCAUUCCAUAAUCAUACAUCAAGCGGAAAUAAAAUUUAAAAUUUAAUACCUUAAUUUAUUGAAACUCAAAUACUGAAUCAAAUAAACAUAGCGUCAUGAAUGGAAUUGAAGAGAAACAUAAAAUGCCCUAACAAAUUUAUUAUGGAUUCCUAAAAAUUUCUUUUAUUUGGCAACCUGCGCACCACUUAGCCACCAUCCACGUUGACCAAUCUGACCUGAAAAGUUAAAAUGGAAGGAGUGAGUAAUUUAUACUCAGUAUGAUACGUGCGUCCAAAACAAUAUGAUAACUUUUAAAACAUGAAUCUAUAACAUUCCAUACCAUCAUUUCAUUAAAAGCAAUCGGUGAUCAAUCGAAAGCUCUAGUACAUUUGAGAAAAUCCGAAGGCGAUCUCACAUUUCAUUUCAUAGGGACCCGCAGGUCAAUUAGCAUUUCAUGAAAUAAAUCACAUAAAAAAAAUUAUAAUAUUGCAAGGAUGAAUCACUUGCACAUGGUAUCCUACCUCGUUAAUCUACGAAUUUUGAAAACAAGAUCCAAGAAUCACACUCCAAAUGUUUAUUUUCUGUCAACGCAAUUGUUGCCGUGUAUGUGCAUGCAAUAGAUGUGAUUAAAGAGGCAAAGAGAAUUAUAAUUUUGGUAGAAUAUGAAUAUAAUAGGGGUUUUUGCUGAACUUAAAGAAUGAAACCAAAAACUAAGGAAAUGGGGUUCAUGACAAAAAUAUGUGUAUGGCAUUAGUAUUCAUAGGCAAAUAUAAAGUAGUUGAUAAGGGUUAGAACUGUGUUAGUCAUUAUCCUCUAUAAGAUUGAAAUUUAUCCAAAU